UGGGCUGUAGCUCAGUGGUACUGCACCUGCUCUGAAUGCAGAAGGUUCCAGGUUCAAUCCCUGACACAGGAUAU